GUUUGAUCCUGGCUCAGUAUGAACGCUGGCGGUAUGCUUAACACAUGCAAGUCGAACGGGAUCUUAGGAUCUAGUGGCGGACGGGUGAGUAACGCGUGAGAAUCUGGCUUCAGGUCGGGGACAACAGUUGGAAACGACUGCUAAUACCGGAUGUGCCGAAAGGUGAAAGAUUUAUUGCCUGAAGAUGAGCUCGUGUCUGAUUAGCUAGUUGGUAGUGUAAGAGACUACCAAGGCGACGAUCAGUAGCUGGUCUGAGAGGAUGAUCAGCCACACUGGGACUGAGACACGGCCCAGACUCCUACGGGAGGCAGCAGUGGGGAAUUUUCCGCAAUGGGCGAAAGCCUGACGGAGCAAUACCGCGUGAGGGAGGAAGGCUCUUGGGUCGUAAACCUCUUUUCUCAGGGAAGUAAAAAAUGACGGUACCUGAGGAAUAAGCAUCGGCUAACUCCGUGCCAGCAGCCGCGGUAAUACGGAGGAUGCAAGCGUUAUCCGGAAUGAUUGGGCGUAAAGGGUCCGCAGGUGGAACUGAAAGUCUGCUGUUAAAGAAUCUGGCUCAACCAGAUAAAAGCAGUGGAAACUACAGAACUAGAGUACGUUCGGGGCAGAAGGAAUUCCUAGUGUAGCGGUGAAAUGCGUAGAUAUUAGGAAGAACACCGGUGGCGAAAGCGUUCUGCUAGGCCGUAACUGACACUGAGGGACGAAAGCUAGGGGAGCGAAUGGGAUUAGAUACCCCAGUAGUCCUAGCUGUAAACGAUGGAUACUAGGCGUGGCUUGUAUCGACCCGAGCCGUGCCGUAGCUAACGCGUUAAGUAUCCCGCCUGGGGAGUACGCACGCAAGUGUGAAACUCAAAGGAAUUGACGGGGGCCCGCACAAGCGGUGGAGUAUGUGGUUUAAUUCGAUGCAACGCGAAGAACCUUACCAAGGCUUGACAUCCUGCGAAUCUUUCUGAAAGGAGAGAGUGCCUUCGGGAGCGCAGAGACAGGUGGUGCAUGGCUGUCGUCAGCUCGUGUCGUGAGAUGUUGGGUUAAGUCCCGCAACGAGCGCAACCCUCGUUUUUAGUUGCCAGCAUUAAGUUGGGCACUCUAGAGAGACUGCCGGUGACAAACCGGAGGAAGGUGAGGAUGACGUCAAGUCAGCAUGCCCCUUACGCCUUGGGCUACACACGUACUACAAUGCUACGGACAAAGGGCAGCUACGCAGCGAUGUGAUGCAAAUCUCAUAAACCGUAGCUCAGUUCAGAUCGAAGGCUGCAACUCGCCUUCGUGAAGGAGGAAUCGCUAGUAAUUGCAGGUCAGCAUACUGCAGUGAAUUCGUUCCCGGGCCUUGUACACACCGCCCGUCACACCAUGGAAGUUGGUCACGCCCGAAGUCAUUACCCCAACCGAAAGGAGGGGGAUGCCGAAGGUAGGACUGGUGACU
rnacentral:rRNA from 1 species